AGUGAGGCGAGAGGAAUUCUGAGGCACGUGUGUUUGAAUGAUUCUCUACAUAACACUAAAACUACAACACUACAGCAUUUCUCCCGUAGUUCAUCAUAUUAGCAAGAUUUAAAAGUGUCAUGGCUACCUUUAUAUUGGCGGACUCCGGGAGAUGAGGCGCCUGUGAGAUGAUUUCCUCCGGGACUUUGCAACAUACAAAUUACUUUUUGCUGCUGAGACUUGCAUCCUCCACCCUUGCCUUGCACUACCUUAAGACACACUGCGAGGCUCUGGGUGUUGCUCUGAUCGCAGUGUCGAGCUUUGGCCAGAAGGAAAAGAGGAAAAGGAAGAAAGAAACACAACAACAAGGAAACAAGUGAGAAUGGAAGAGUUGAAAAGUGUCAGAGUUUUGUCCAGCAGAAACACGUGUG